GGGGCUGUAGCUCAGUGGCAGAGCACUUGCCUAGCAUGCGUGAGGCAAUGGGUUAGAUCCUCAGCACCA
rnacentral:tRNA from 1 species